rnacentral:tRNA from 1 species
UUCAAAAGUGCGACAUGGAUAAAUGUCACAAAUGAUGAAUUGAUUUCUUACUUAUGUUACUCUUGUUACUCUAUUUUUGUUAGUAUCGUCUAUAAUAAUAGAUGAAUCAAACAUUUUCAAUUUAAUUUAUUCUUUCAAUUGGUUGGUAUUUUUGCUUAUCCUCGUAUCUUUCAAAAAUUGAAACUUAGGGAAGUGCUUUAUAAACAUAUGUAUAAAAAGAACAUAUUUCAUUUAGCCUUUUCAUGCCUACUAUAACCAGUUAUUUUGGUUUUCUACUAGCAGCUUUGACUAUCACCUCAGCUCUAUUUAUCGGUCUGAGCAAGAUACGACUUAUUUGAAAUUAAUUAAAUGAACAUGAACAAUUCAUAAAAAAAAUCUUUCUAUGGCAGUUCAUAUCUUCUAGAGUUACUUAACGUAUCAAUUUCCAAUUCUUGGUCAUUGAGAUUUAUAGUCAAUACAGAUUAAUAUUUAAGGAUAAAUAUUACCUCCCCUUUCCCCUUUCAAACAAAUUGAAAUGAUUGAAGUUUUUCUAUUUGGAAUCGUCUUAGGUCUAAUUCCUAUUACUUUGGCCGGAUUAUUCGUAACUGCAUAUUUACAAUACAGACGUGGUGAUCAGUUGGACCUUUGAUUAAUUAACAUCUCUUUUUUGAUUGACCUCCUACUUCCUUUAAUCCGCGGGAGGUCAAAUUUAGAUUGCUGUUCAAUUUUUUAAGUGUAAUUUUCGACCUAACGCGAUUAACAAGAACACAGAAUCACGCUCUGUAGGAUUUGAACCUACGACAUCGGGUUUUGGAGACCCACGUUCUACCGAACUGAACUAAGAGCGCCUUAUUAUCAUUAUCACAAUAAAGAUUUUGUGACCCCAAUUCAUCUUGCAUAUAUAUCAUAAAAUUAAAGA